UGUUGUUCUUUUUGUCCGUGUUUUUUUUUCGGGAUUCAGUUUGUUCGGUAUAGCGGUAUUUUUAAAUUUCGACGAUAACGGUAUACUUUUGUAUUCGAUUCGGUAGCGAUAAAUUACAUUUUGCAAUAUUAUCGCAUCAAUACAAUGCAAUACAAUCGAUCCGGAAACAAAUUGCCGGUAAUUUCGCAUCGCCGUAAUAAGCGCUCAUAUACG